AUAACUAAGCUUUUGUCUAAAAUCUAGCAAUAACUUUGAGAGGUACUUGUGUUGAUACUUAAGAAAGAACAGAAUCAGGAGUCGAAUUUUGUACCAUAUUCGUCUAGUUUUCUCGCUAAAAAGGAUAAUCUAUCUCGUUGUAGCACACUCCUUUCUGGUUUACCAGAUUUUCCUGUCCCUGCUCCAUAAGUGAUUUGAGCACGCUUGUACUGUGCUAUUGGCUCCACCAUAAAUACAGAUCGUAAUGCUAGCAGAUUUUCUUCUUAAUAUGUUGUCUUUUGUGGCAUCAAGUUUAGAGUUUUACUGUAGUCAACUGAACUGGACUUCAAAUGAAUUUGGAAAGACCCCUUUCUGGUUGAUUGCCUUGUAUAUUGAAAUGUUGUGUCUCAAAGUUAUCUGAUCUUCUCUGACUUGGUAUUAUUUAUACUCUGAUUUACUGAGCUUCUACUGUUGUACUAUCAG
rnacentral:lncRNA from 1 species